UUUUUCAUCUUGCUAAGACAAUUUCAUUUUGGAAAAACGUUACGGUUUUCUUAUCUUAUUAAGUUGUUCGGUUUUCAUUCCUAUCUUGGUUAUGCAGUCUUUAAAAUUUUAUGUAUUCGUGUUCAUUAUUGUACUAUGAAGAGGUAAACAUAAUACAAUGCAUGGAGUCGAAUAAGGAAUACGUACAAUUCAUGCAUUGAUUCGUUUGCGUCCAGCUGUUAAUUAUUACACUUCGAUCUACCACAUAUUUGCCAUCAUAAAUCAAAAUCGAUUUCUCCAACCUUAACUGACUCAAUAGAAUAUUCUUCAAGCUGGCCACAAAUUUAAUAAAGGAUAUUGCCAUAUUUCAUGCCAAUAAUGCAGACUGCAUUCAUUAAGAAUUAAAUAGAAUAUAUACUACCAUUAAUACAAAUAACUAAAGAU
rnacentral:lncRNA from 1 species